rnacentral:rRNA from 1 species
CCCCCUAGGGCGUGCCAGGCACCCUCGUGGCCGCCUCGGCUGCUUCUUGACAUCCACUCCAAGUCUCCUGAAUUGCGUUUGUUCCAAAAAGAUCGCUCCCAAAGGUUUCAUUCCGUUUGGACUCCGUUUGAUAUUCCUUUUCUUCGAAACACUGAAAUAGGCAAAAAAACAGCAAUUCGGGCUGGUCCUCCGGUUAGUAGGU